CGAACUAGCCUCUGGGCCUGUUCUCUCGAUCAAAAUAAAAUACGACGAGCCCACGUCUCCAAAAUCAAUCGACAAGCGUGCGCUGACACCGAUCGGAGGUGACUGCAGCCCUGCAGCAGGCAGCCGGCGCCCGUCACGGCAGGGCUGCGAUGGUUGCCUAAGCCGGCGGCCAGCGGACGUCGGUUGGUGGCAGCAGUGAGCAGCCGCCGGUCGAGUCAAAGAUCUAGAAGGGCAGUAGCCUGGAUUGCUUGUCGGUGCCGUGAUCCACGACCUAGGGUUGUCGAACCAAAUCGAGUGUUGGGGUCGACUACAGGGUCGACAUGGAUCGAUAGCCAGGACGCGAUCCCAGACGCAGAUGGGUGACGCCGGUGGCGAGAGAGAGGCAAAGUGGAGAAGAGAUGUCGGGAAAUAAUACGAAGUAGAUGAAUACAAGGAGCAGAGGAAUUUGCCAUGGAAAGAGAGCGGGGGAGCUCUGCAUGCUUCAGUUUCAGUUAGGUCCCCCCUGGGUACGCUAAGACAGCGGCGGCGGUGUGUAACAGGGGAAACGAAGGAAGCAGCGAUGUGGGAGGAGAACUGCACGCCUGGGUACGCUAUUUUGUAUCUUGCUUUCUUGCACAUAUGCUUCACCUUGCACCAUCAGGGCAGCACUUCCGUUGCUCUAACUACCGUCAUCGGCAAUGUCCGUGAGGCUGUCCAAUUUACAAGGAUGCGCACUAUGCAUGUCCAGAUUCAGGUUUUAAUUGACUGUAAGUAAGAAACUCAUGGAUUUGCAUGCAUACACAAACAAGCAAAUGGGGGGUCGGCAAAAAGCAGAAGGUGCAUAUUGAUCACCUGAUUAACAACAUUGUUAAUCCAAUGCUCGAGUUUUAUUGUUGGCAAGAAACUGGAUGGAUUUGCGUACAUGAGCAAAUAGGAUUCGGCAGAAAUAUAGAAGGUGCCCGGUAUUAACUAAUUCGAGUGUAGAUUUCUCAUUAUUGCUCAGAACAAAAGACAUAGUUUUUUUGUUAAUCCGUAGCUGCUUGAAUUUCAUAUAAAAUAUCAUUCACAUAAAAUUACACGUCACGUACCUAACCUUGCAUUAGAAGUCUGUAUUUCUUAAACUAGCUGCAUUAUAUAGUUCAAAAUUAAAUAUGAAAUGAGGUUGCGACAUGGAAGGUUCAUGGUUGGAUGUUGAUCCAAAUUAAGCCUUACAAAGAUGACAUAUAUAGAUGUAGGAAAAUGACUGAUGGCCUUUUUUCGAUAUGUAUAGGCGAUACCAUGAAAUUGAUUGAAUUCAUGUUAAAAGUCAACUUCUGUGAGGUAACUAUCUUAAUCAGUUUGGAGCACUGCGUGUGCACAAAUUGAUGUAAUACAAUUUCAAUCAGGCAGAUAUAUUGUAGUUUUAUAUACAGUUAUAGGAGUAUGUUUACCUCCGUGCUUUUGAUUCAAGAUUAAGAUGUGCGUAUUAUAUGCAUUCUAGACUUAGCUUGAAAAUUUAACAAAUUUUCUACGAAAUUCAUACAGGUAUUGUGACUAAGUUUGCUGACAGAAUAAUUUGUAUCUUUAUUAUCCCGUUGCAACGCACGGGCAUAUGUGCUAGUGUGUGUGUGUGUGUGUGUGUGUGUGUGUAUAUAUAUAAUAAAGCAUGAAUUGACUUUGUCGGGUUCACCAUCACAAUACGCUUCUUCCCGUGAAUUUACACUUUCAGUUUGAAUUUAAAACGUAAGUGGUACUAAUUCUGGAACGAGGCGACGUGCAUCGAACGUUGGUGGGUCUACGUUAUUGGGCCUGUAAAAACUUAAAUAUGUAUCCCGCCCGGUUCCGUCACGUGGACCGUAACAGAUGCAGAUUCCUGAUCUGACCAAACAUGUCUCCAACUCAAGAUCGAUAUAAAAAGCCAGCCCCUCGCAACCGGGCCUGGCACAACACGCGAUGUACGCCGGCGCUCGCACGGCCGCCCAAGUAGGCGCCAUGAUUUGGGCGACGAAGUUGGCCACGACUGGCGCCACCGGGUACGCACCGCUUGUGCUCUAUCCCGUGCCGUUCAAGGCGCUGCUGCUGGGCAUGGGCUUCUUCUACCUCCGUCACCCCAGGUUCCGCGGCGACAUGCCCUCCGCCGGCUUCAACUUCUUCUGCCGCCUGUCGUCGCUCUCCGACCGGGUGCUCUAGCUAGGAUCGAUCGAUCGUUGUUUCUCUUUGAGGUUUUACUGUUGCUGUACUGUGAUCCACUACUGCUUGGUGGGAUCGUUGUCCGAGAUCGCCGUGUCACGAGGUUCUGCAACCCGCGAGACGAGGCCGCACGGAUCUUGGACUGCGGCAGCGGGGCUGUCUAUGGCACAGACCGGCAGUUCCAGGGGCGUGCAGUGACUGCUCCCCUCUGUCUCCAUGUCUACCUGCUUCGUUGAGGGAGAUGACGAGCCUGAGCGAAGGCGCUCAAUCAUUGUGUAUAUCCAGAUUAGCAUGAAUCCAACAACAGGGGAUUGUAUAAUUCUAAACGGCCGCCUGCUACUCAAGCUCAUCCCCUGCCUCUUCGCUCCUCCACCAUGGGGUGAUCAAUCACUCAAAACUCACAGCUGCAUAUGAUUUCUUCAGGACCAUCAGCAUGGAUGUUCAGUUAUCACACAAUUCUACCACUACAUUGGACGAGGAUGAGAUGAUUGGGCUAAAGGCUUGGCACCAUAUUUAUUGCCGGACAAGAUAAGUUAUCCACAUUACUUCCUUCCUGGUCUGCUUGGAAUAUAGGAAGUAUGUGUACUUUCUAUACUAUGAGCAUACGUUUUCUUAAUCAAAUAUAUAUCAUUGCAUUUUCAGCCAUGCAUGUGAAUGCUUAGGAAGACACAACAUAAAUAGUUCAGUUUUGUUGUUGUUCAAUUCUAUUUAACAGAUGCAGACCCACACAUAAAUUCAAUUUUUUACUGACACUUUUCUACAGAGAAUGCUUUCCAUUAAUAUUUCUCCUUGAUAAUUUAUUUUCCCCUUGGCAUUCAUCCACCUUAUCGAAUCUGAUAAAUUGAUCUUGACUACCAAUCUGUCUAAUGUAAUCGAUGAAGGACAUGGCAUUAGCAGGAGUCAACAUACUGUGCGAACGGUGAGCAAAACCCUAUAUUUUUCAAAUAUUUCUUUUUUUUGCGCCACAGCUGCUCAGUGAAUCAUCAGUUUUGUUUCAAUAUGGUUACAACCAGCCAUCAAAGCAGAAGAUAGGUGGAUUGUUGAAAAAGGUUAGUGGUCUGCGAUUCACUUUUGGGCAUGAGGACAUCCGUGCGAGCAUCUUCAACCUACUCUUUUUAUCAGCUCACAACGCAUGGUUUAUGUCUGUCUGAUUACUCAAGUUGCGGCCAUGCGUUACAUUAGGAUUAAACAAAUAACAGAAAGUUAAAUACUCAGAGGUCGACUCUACCAUGAAAUUUUAACCUCUUACUGCAAAUGUGAUAAAAUUUGUACUGCAUUACAUGCAUAAAAAUAGAGCCACCAUGUGAACCAUGUAGUUCUUUUCUAAAGACUACUUUUAUUGUUUUUCUUCUUUACACCACUACUCUGAAUAUUUUGAUGUACUGAAUAAUACGUGUCUCGAUUCCAGACUUUCUGUCUCAGUGGUAACAGCUAAUCAAAGUUUUGGUAGCUUAAAAAUAAAUUUAUAUUAUUUUUCAAUUUAACUAAAAAAUUGCUAGCAUAGAGGCAUGGCAAAUUUGGCUUGCUUUGUACUAUAACAAUUUUGUAGGCAUCAACUUAGAUGUGUUCUAUUCUGGUAGGAGGGUGUAGGGAUAAUUUUUUUCGUUGCGAGGCACAUGAUGGGAUUGCUAAAGGUGUGUGCUAGAUUGUGACGAUCAGGCUCAUUACCUGAGAUUGAUCUUGUUCGUCAUGAAUAGAUGGACUACAUGACCAUGAUGGUGAAGAGAGUGGUAACACCGAUGGGUCGCUUGGAACAUGCGAUGAUUUGUUUUUUCCCGUUGCAACGCACGGGCAUAUGAGAGUGAGGACAUGCAUAGGGUUGUUGCUUCCUACUGGUACAUAACUAUUUUCUUUGUACAAGUACUAUGUUGAUUCUUCAGAGAUCUCGUCUUCAUGAGACUAGCGAAGGGGGUAUAGGUUAGGAAGAAGGGGAGAUGAGGAAUUAACAAGAUAGUAUAUGGGCUGAAUAAUUUUGAACUAGCUACUAUUUCUAAAUGGAGUGCCAUGUUCAAAUAGAAGAAGUGAAGUUGUGGUGGGUUCUGAGCCAUGCUUUAGGAAAGGGGUGUACCAUAUUAUUUUUCUCCCGUUGCAACGCAAGGGCUUUUUUGCUAGUAAUAAUAAAGCACGGAUUGACUUUGUCGGGUUCACCGUCACAAUACGCUUUCUUCUCAUGUCAUAAUACGCUUUUACGAUCUGUAUAAACAAAAUCGUAAUAUAAACGAGGUGGUACUAAUUUGGGGUCCGCACGUAAACAAAAGCUUCCUCUGUUUGUUCCCUGCCGUAUUUGAUGUGUAUUAGGCCUGCCCUACGCACUUUUGGGCCUCAGCCACGGCCAGUCUAGCACUCUUCCGAUCCCAAAAAGACCAACACGUCAAGCUGCACAAUACACAUAGGUUCGGCAAGGGCCGAGUGGGCUUCUAAUCAGCCUUUUCAUGUUAGUUUACUCAUUAAAAAGAUAGCCCCACAUCGCUUUGUAACAAUGAGUCCCACCAGUUUAAAUAUGUGAGCAAGUUGCCUAAGGACAAGCCUUGUUGAGAAUUAAAUAAUUGGAGGAUGAGGCAUGGAUCUGUUGAAAAACAAAAGAGAGGGGCGAGCUCAGGCAGUGCUAAUUAACGAGGGAAAAGGAAGGCGUAUUAACGAGGGAGGGAGUAGGAAGGGCUGAGGAGGAAAUCACGCAUGCCAAUUAACGAGGGAAAAAGGAUGCAGGCCUAUGUGUCUAAGAACUUGCUCGUGAAUGAGAAAAAAAGAGGAUUCAGGCCUAAUGGCGAGUCGCCUAGGUCCGCUACCCAGGGAACUCCAGCGAACGAAGUCUUGUGCCCACCUCCCCGACCGGGGCGCCGGACGACCAACACUCCGCGCCGCCGUCCUCCACUCUCGAUCGAGUCGUCUAGGAGUACGUGCAUGCCCUUCUCCGGCUGACAUCCGGGUUCAUCGGCUCACCGCGUGCUCUGCGUGCGUUUGCCUGCCGCUGCGUGCAUGCAUGCCUGGCUCGCGUGUGUGUGGUGCGCGUGCAUGCUGUUGCCGCUGACUGCUACACCUCCGGCUGGCUGCUGGAGUUGCUAGAUAGAAUAUGAUCCGUAUUUUAAAGUUCUUACAAAUUGAACUGGCUACUUGUUAUUUCUCCUGUACAAUAGGAGAGAUAUCGAUAUGUUUUUCUAAAAAAGGAGAGUAUGAAUUCAAGGGCCAUGCUUCAUCUAUUCUGUGAUACGCCGUCGUACAACACAAGUACUUUUUUUCGAAACGGUGGCAAAAGAUUUACCUCAUCGAUUAAUUACAACAUGAGUACUAUAUUCUAUGCAAUCAGAUUAUGAAUAACUUUGAAGUAGCAUGCUCUGUUGUAACUCUCAACAUGGACUUUUGCCAUUGUACUUUUUGUUCAAGUGCAGUGUGCUAGCAGUGUCACUGUUAUGAUUUUUAUGUGACUUGUGCAUCCAUGGCCACUUCUUUCAAUGUUCUUCAGUUCUUUCAUGGUUUUCUUUUGGAAGUCUGGGAUUUAGGACAACUUAUUUCAGGAGCACUAAACCGUUGUUUGGACAUCAUUCAUGGCCCUUGAUACUUUUGAGUGCUUUUAAUAUUCUUUUGCUUCUUGCGAAAUUGUUUGAAUGAUAAAUUAUUUUUCAGGUUACUCAACAUAUUUUUUUUUUCAUUGUCAUGCACAGAUAUGUUUGCUUUUUUUUAAUAAUAAAUGGAGCCGAGUUUCUCUUUUUUUUCAUCUGUCAUGGUAUUUACCCGACACAAAUGAAUUAAUGUCCAGUGAAGUGAGAGAGGGGCUAAAACACAUUAUUUAACCCAACCCUUUUAGCUAGAUUUUUUCAGACUCGGUGCACCAUCCGGAAAAAAAAUUGCUGCUCGGUGCGAAUUUCGAAAAAAAAUUCACAGCGUAGUGCAAACACCAAAGAGUACUCCAACUUUCCAAAAUAGUACCUUAUAUGGAAGAUUUGAAUCCUUUAAUAUCAGAACCGUCAUACAAAAUUCAUACCAAAAGUAUUGUAUGUGUAGCGUGGUUUUUUAUGCAUGACUUAUAUGCAUUUUUGCUAGCUUUCGCCAUGCGCCUCAGUGUAGCCAUCAGAUGACACUGUUUAGUUAUUGUUGCGUUGUGCUUAUUCUAUGGACACGUCAAGUAUCUCUUCCGUUGCAAUGCACGGGCAUUUGUGCUAGUCUUUCCCUAAUAAUAAAGCACGGAUUGACUUUGUCGGGUUCACCGUCACAAUACGCUUCUUCCCAUGAAUUUACGCUUUCAACUUUUUUCACCUAUAUUAUUUUCUAUAUCCGAGGUGGUACUAUUUUACUUGCCUAUAGUACACGUGCGCCCACAACUGGCUGGGCCUCAACCUGAUCUAUUCGGCCUCUCAAAAAGGAUUCGAACCGGGGAACGCCAGAUCCAGCCUUCGUACGAUUGAAUCUAAAAUGAAAAUCAAUCCAAGAUUAAGUUAGAAUUAAUCACGCGUUCGGUAUACGUAUCAAAGCCUGCUAUACCUAACCAAAUAUCGCCACUUUUUACAUCGAACCAUAUCUCCUCUCUCGAGGUUUCCCCGCUUCCGGGAUUUAGGGCUUAUCACCGCCGUAUCAUGUGCAGGAGGCCUCUAUCGAGCGCAUCGUUGGUGCUAAGAAGGAGGGGCUGACGCGGACGGCGAGUGUGGCCGGAGGGAGGCGUUCUCCACUGCCAGAUGCAACCACGUUUGCCGGACUUGAAGCCAUGGGUUCGGGCGCUGGGUGACCCCGUCCCCCGCCGUUAGUCGUAGGCUACCUCUUCCGGCCCCGGAUGCCUCUUCGCCUGCUCCUAACCUCCUGUUAGCUCACUCUAAGCAAGGCCCGGCUCCCAAGAUCACCGUCGACUGGAUUGAGUGGAGCGUCUCUGGUGGCUUCGCGGCAACAGCAUGUGCACACCAUCGCUCUUCUCCAUGGUUUGCUCACCCUCGCGGUUCAUGGUUUUCAUCCUGAUGUCCUUGCACGUACGGUCGUCGCGCGUGGCCUGGAGCCUGUCCGGUUAGCCGUAGGACCCUGCGCUUCCACCACUCCUCUUCCAGCGAGCGCCUCUAUCUCGCCUGCUGAUGCUGCAGCCGGUGGUCGUCCUGUUCCUCCCUCCACGAGCCUACAUGCUGGCAUGCUGCCGAUCCCUGCAUGAGCACGCUGUCAGAGUACUACUUGGGCCAGGAGAUCCAAAGACAGCGCCCUCCAUGGCUUCAGCAUGGUAGAAUCCGCACACUGGCCAAAGGGAGAUUUUGGUGUUGAAAUUUGAAACGAAGGACUACAACGCUCCAAUGAAAAUUUGAUGGCACCAACGCUCUCCAACGCAAAUUUGAUACAUCAAGCUUAGCUUCUACAUGGCUGUUGUUACAGAAGAUGUAUCAGAGAAGCACUUCCUUAUAAAUUAUUGAUGCUUAAAAAAAUUUGGAUAUCAUGAAGCACCCAUAAUUUUGGGUGGGACUGGCAUGACAUGUUCCCUCUUUCCAAAUAUAGUCAUAGUGAUGGACUACUAUAUGGUACACGCAGAUCGAUCUGACUGCCAUUUUACAUAUUUGCACAGGUCGAUGCUCAAUACUGUUUCUUUCUGAUUCUCUUACUGACAUUUACAUUACUUUGCCUCUUUAGAGUUGCAAAUUAUUUUCUCUGACAAGAAAUGCCAUAUUUUCAUUGUACUGAAAUUUUUUCGUUUCCGGAUCAAUUUUGUUACUAAUAUACUUAUAACUAAAUUUCUUAUUGAUUUUCUCUAUGCAGGUCAUAAAGGGGUGCCUCUCAGAACAUGUCAUAUUUUCAUCAUACUAAAAUAAGUAGCUUAGCUUCCUGGUCAAUUUUGUUAUUAAUCUAUAUAUAACUAUAUUUAUUAUUGUGAGGUGAAAAUAUUCUGAGGAUGCUUUCAGGUAUUUAAAGGUAAGGAUUCAGCUCCUGCUUACACUUUCAUUAGUUCAGUGUGUUCAUUAUCAUAUCAUACCAUCAGCAGUUUGUGCUUACUUCCAUAAAUAGUCAUAUAACGAUCAAGUCUGCCCUGUUAUAUCCAAGCCAAUUACAUAUUUAUGCCUUUUCUUGGGAGCAACAUUAAUCUUUUUUAUUGUAUUAUGAGAUUAGUAAUUUGAGAUUUUGCUUUAACUGUUGUAAUUUAAAGGAGGUAGGAAGGAUGAAAGAAACUUGGACAUUUAAUUUUCUUUGAUUUGAAUUGAGCUCGCUCUUAACAUAAAAAAAAUAUAAGUUUUGUAUAUUCUUGUUGUUGUAUACAAUAAUUUAUUAGCAUUACCAAUAGUAAUGGCACCAUGCUAUACCACAUUGCCGCACGCUAGAUCUAACAAGGUUGCCUUGGAGUUCGCCAAAAGGCAGCGGCCACCUCACCAACUUCAUCCUACCCAUAUUUACCACCUCCCCCGCUUUCUAGAUUCACCGUACUUUGGGAUCCCCCCCUCCUGGCGCGGCUGCAGUUUGGGGGCUGGACUUACUACAUGGGCCAAAUGACAAUGGACCAAGCCCAAACAACAGUGAAAAAACAUUCAAAUGAAAUUUAAUAUUAAAAAAACAUCGCCACAAAAAUGAUACCAUUUUAAAAAGAUUCUCAAAUAAUUUAAAAAACACCUUCUCAAAGUGAAACAAGUAUGAUUGAUAAAAAAAGUUCGUAUUUUCGGAUGAAAUGAAAGUGCGGAGCUGAAAUAGGUAACAAGAACAUUGUUAGGAUACGUCCAAAUUUCAUCGUACAAAAAGAAAUACUUAGUGUAAUCCUAUUUAUAAUGUUUGCAAAAAUUGGAAUAAAUAAUGUUGCACAAUGGGAUGUUGAACAUGUUAUUAUUUUGGAAGAUAUUUAAGUCAAACAAAUGGUUUUUUAAAUUAUACGUAUCUUUUAAACCGUAACUCCGAUUUUAACAUGUUAUAUAUGAAACUUGAUUAGAAAAAUGUGUGAAAUCUGAAUAUGAUGUUAAUUUUACCUGUUAAAUAUUUUUUAGAUAUUGUUUUGGAAGCAAACUUAUAACUAUAGCACACGAUCCAUUUUUCUUUCGUACAGGCGGCGAUCUGGAUUACAAAUAAACACUCACUAUAGUCAUAUAGGAAAAAAGAAAACAUCGAGAGCUACACAUGCAUACCUCUGAAUACAUCGUAGGGGAAAACAACCGAUUUCUCAUCGCGAGUGUGAGAGAAAGCGAGAGAGAGAAAGAGGGAGACGGAGGAGAGAGGGAGAGAGAGACGUCUUAGGAUUAACCACAUUCAAACACGUUUUGGUUUAUGUGAACACUAAGGCCAUCGCCGGCGAAGGUGAUAAGAAGGUUAAGCGGCAACACAAAUAUGAUGCGUCGCUAAAAUAAAGGAGAUUGACCUAUUAUGGUCUUGAGUGAUGGUUGUUCAGUUAAGAGUGUGUUGUGUUUUUUCUCCCGUUGCAACGCACGGGCUCUUUUGCUAGUCUCUCCCUAAUAAUAAAGCACGGAUCGACUUUGUCGGGUUCACCGUCACAAUACGCUUCUUCCCGUGAAUUUACGUUUUCAGUUUAAAUUUUAAAUAUAUACGCGAGGUGGUACUAAAUGUCUGGAUUCGAACUCGGGUUGUCUAGGAAAGAGCACGUAGCCGCUAGCCAACUCCCAAGGCUGAUGUUUCUUGCAACAAAAAGAAACUCUUUUUUCUUUCUAUGCAACUCUCAAAGCCUGGGCCAUGCGCCUAUCUCAAUUGCUCCUUUUGUCCCUCAUCUGUUUUGUCCUUCGCAUGGGCCGAGCUGGGCCUGGUCUAAAAAAAGAAACGACGUUCAUUGUCAAACUAAUUAAUCCCACCUUGCCCCUUUCAAUUAAAGUGCACUAAUUUAUAUAGGCCUGUGAGUUUUACUACAUCACCAAGCAGCCUUGGGUCGAUUGAGGAAGGAUGAGAUGAGGCCAAUUACACGAGAAAUAAAAAGAAGGAAAGAGAAGCAAGGUCACAGAAAUAAGGAAGGAAAGGGAGGGAAAGAUAAAAGGAAAGAGUAGGCCUUCUAUAUAUGUGCUCAGGACAGAAAUUAGGAAGGAGAUGAAUUCAGGAAGAAAAGGGAGGGAAAGAUAAAAGGAAAGAUAAAUGAUGGAAGGGAGGCUGGUUCACAUACUCAGACUUUGUGUUGAAGGGUCUUUUAUUUUUUCCACUUCCUUGACGUUCUUUUCAAGUCAUCAUUGUUGCUUCCUGCACCAAACAAAUUUAUUCAUGGGAUAAAUGUAAUAGUGUUCUAUAGUACAAACUUAGAUACGCUGGUUGAAACCGGCGCAACGAACUAGCGGUGCU